UACGUAGGGUGCGAGCGUUAAUCGGAAUUACUGGGCGUAAAGCGUGCGUAGGCGGUUCGUUAAGUCAGCUGUGAAAGCCCCGGGCUCAACCUGGGAACUGCGGUUGAAACUGGCGAACUAGAAUCUGGCAGAGGGGGGUGGAAUUCCACGUGUAGCAGUGAAAUGCGUAGAGAUGUGGAGGAACACCGAUGGCGAAGGCGGGUCUCUGGGCCGAUACUGACGCUGAGGAGCGAAAGCGUGGGGAGCGAACAGG
rnacentral:rRNA from 1 species